rnacentral:rRNA from 1 species
CCUACGGGAGGCAGCAGUGGGGAAUAUUGCACAAUGGGGGAAACCCUGAUGCAGCGACGCCGCGUGAGUGAAGAAGUAAUUCGGUAUGUAAAGCUCUAUCAGCAGGGAAGAAAAUGACGGUACCUGAGUAAGAAGCCCCGGCUAACUACGUGCCAGCAGCCGCGGUAAUACGUAGGGGGCAAGCGUUAUCCGGAUUUACUGGGUGUAAAGGGAGCGUAGACGGCAGUGCAAGUCUGGAGUGAAAGGCGGGGGCUCAACCCCCGGACUGCUCUGGAAACUGUACGGCUGGAGUGCAGGAGAGGUAAGUGGAAUGCGUAGUGUAGCGGUGAAAUGCGUAGAUAUUAGGAGGAACACCAGUGGCGAAGGCGGCUUACUGGACUGUAACUGACGUUGAGGCUCGAAAGCGUGGGGAGCAAACAGGAUUAGAUACCCUUGUAGUC